GCAUAACAAUAGAAAAUUCACAAAACAAUGGCUGCUAAACAAAUUUACAUUUAGAGGACAAAAUUAUUUUACCUUUACCUGUAAAUUUAGACAUAUUCACGAUGUUGUAAUAGUAGGUACUAGACCUAUCUACAAAAGGCUGCCUUCUAGAAUAUAAAACAGUGGAGAAUUUGAAUCACUUUGGACUACAGUAUUCUAUAUGAAAUCAAAUAUCUUUAUUUCGUAGAAUCGCGCCAAACGUAAAUAAAGCUAUUACAAUGAUCGGUUCUUGGACUUUUAAGAUCUGCUGGCCAAUCUUAAAGCCGUCUUCUGACGAGCAAUGUGAUGAAUCUUUUACAUCUCGCUGGGCUGCGUACUUCACAUUUGGUCAUUAAAUAUACAUUAGUAAAGGGAAUCCUGAUGAUAACAUCGGUUUUAACAAUAUUUGGGGUGAAAAACUAGAGGAAGAAUCACUUGUUCAAUAAAAAGGUUCAUACGUUCUGUGAAUAGAUGGUUAAUAGUGAAUUGUCAAUACUACUAUGUUUGUGCCGUUUAAAAAUUGUAAUAGUUACUUUACACUUCGUAUUAAUUAUCUGCUCUAGUUUACGCGUAUUGAUCGCAGCUACGUUCGGAACAGAAAACAACUAAUACAUAAUAUCUACAAAUCAGUGUUUAGUACCCAUAAACUAUCUGAAAAUGUGUGCCCCUACGGAUUCCAUGGAUUUUUCAACUCUUGAAGAUGAUCAAUGUAUAGUAAAAGUAUUCGGUCUUUGUUGUCCAAAUCUGGCAGUGAAGAGGAAAAGGAGAAUCAAAGUGAGAAAUCGGGAGAAUUGUCUGAAAAAAUCGAAGCAAGUAACGAUUCCUUUUCGUCAUAUUUUACAUUUCUUGAAGAAGAGGAAUGCAUUGUACAAGUAACGGAAAUCACAAAUAAAGAAGUACACGAGAUAGUUACAGAAAAUGGAUUGAAGUAUUUGGUAACAGUCCCAGAUAGAUUGAGAGACAAACUACGCGUUGGAAACUGGGUUUUAAUUCAACCCACUGAGGAUGGGUCGACUCAUCCUGCUGAAAUAUUGGACGUAAUAGACACUCCGCGAAAGCGUUUUUAUGGACACAACAAUUUAUAACCAAGCCAAGAUCUAACUUGACAAAGCUAGGACCAGAUACAAGAACAAACGAUCAACAAAGUCACUGAGAAAUAGACCAACUUUAAAACAAAGUAAGAAACAAAAGGAAAAUCAAUUAAAUUUUUAAGAGCACACGGAAUCGCAUAUUAUAAUUAUUGAAAAAAAAAGAAAACCUAAAAUUUUUUUUCAAAUUAACUGACAUAACUUGACAACACUACUAUAAUUUCUUGCGUCAUCACUGGUCACGAGACUUAGAGUAUGGAAAAAAUCAUGAGAUUAUAAAAUAUGAGGAUGAAUUACGCACAUUAGCGUGGUCAGCUUCUUAAAAAAAGAAAUUUAUAAAUGAAGAACAAAUAUAACAACAUUUAUAAAAACAAUUCGACAAAAGUUGACUAUGCUUAAACAUAAUGGAUUGAUCAUUGAAGAUGAAGGGGAUCUACUGCCAUCAAAGGACAAAUUUUGUACUACGGAAUCUUCUAGAACAGAAAACAUCCCAAGAGAGAUAGAGAAAAGAGACUUGUAUUGACCAAUUUAAGACCGAGUGUCUCCCUUAUUACACAAUAUAUUCCUGCUUCGAAUACCAUCACUAAUUUUUACGUAAUAAUUUAUAAAUUUAUAUACAUUGCACCAUAAUGCAGUAUUCCGAUGUAUUGUGUAGUUUUAUAUCUAUGACCUUAAAAAUGAAAUCAAUGGAUUACAUACGCGUUUAGUUAUUUUUAUAUUUUUAAAUGUUUCGAAACCAUUCUGCCAAAUCAUUACGGUGUCAAC